UACGAGGGGGGCGAGCGUUGUUCGGAAUUAUUGGGCGUAAAGGGUGCGUAGGCGGUUUGGUAAGUCUCGUGUGAAGUCUCCGGGCUCAACUCGGAGCCUGCACGAGAAACUGCCGGGCUUGAGUGUGGGAGAGGUGAGUGGAAUUCCUGGUGUAGCGGUGAAAUGCGUAGAUAUCAGGAGGAACACCUGUGGCGAAAGCGGCUCACUGGACCAUAACUGACGCUGAUGCACGAAAGCUAGGGGAGCAAACAGG
rnacentral:rRNA from 1 species